ensembl:lncRNA LOC102549824 uncharacterized LOC102549824
GCAUGGGGUGGUGGAAGGGAGCGAGGAGUCUCUGUGGCUCUUGGGGUUGUCCAGAGCCGGGCUCUGCGUGUCUGCACUCGCUCCGCAAACCUGGGCCCUCGGUUCCGGUGAUGGCUCUGAGACUCGCCGCCCAAGCUCUGUUUGUGCUGAGGACUGAUUUAUAUUUAAACUGCUCUUUGCGCUGCAGAGGAGGGUGGGAAGGCGUAACAAGGUGGAGAGGUGGGGGCCGCCCCAGGGCUGGGCUCAAACUCACUGGAACGGAGCCAAGGUAAACUGCAGGCGCUGUCGAAUGUCAGCGGGUCUGGCCUGAAGUGCUGGGGGUUGGGACAAAAGGAAGCGCUGGUCUGACACAGGAUUGCCCCUGCACUGACCUCCUCUGCAAGGCCGAGUGAGCAAGAUAUAUUUUUCCCCUCUUGGACUCGGACCUUAGAGAAAGAAGAACCACCUCUUCCAGCCCAGCCCAGCCUAAGAAAAGAUACAUCAAUAUCCUCAAUAUCAGGGACACUGACCGGGUGAAGGACGGAGCCCUCUGCUUCGUUAUUUCUGCUUGACGGACUGAGGAGUUCUUCCUACACACUGGGAGAAGUACCUACAGACAGGCUUUCCAGACCCACAGCAAGCCUAACCACCGUGGAACACAGGAAAGAAGUAGAAGACAGGAAACAGGAAAGGGCCAAGGUCACAGCAGAGAAGCAACUUCUCGCACACGGACUUUGCCUUAAGUCUUGUUGGCUGGACCACAGAGUAACCCCCUACAAAGGACAUUAGGAAAUAAGCUUCAAGCAAAUGCUACCAUCUGCAGUAAAAUUGAAGUUCUGUCAGGGAAAAGAAGAGAAGGAUGUCAUAUCGAAGAGCAUCACCAGGAUCUCUCCGCUGGACUUUCCAUCCCUUGGUUUCAGGAAAUAGUUUCUGGUGCUAAAAAACACAAAAGCCCAGUUCUAGAGCAUAGUGGCAGGCCCUGGCUGCUAAGCCAUCCUGUCUCUGUGGGGAGAGCAGAGAGAAGGCUUCAGCCAUGUUACAGAGUGACUGUGUACAGGAGCUGUGAACACGCAGGGGAGAGGCCCAAUACACACAGGACAGCAGGGAAUCCUAUUAACUAUCAAGUGACACCCCAAGAAUAAGGAUGAUGAAGCAUUCUGACUGGAGUACAAAACCAGGGACAGCAGGGAUACAUGAGGCUGGGGAGAGACUGGAAAACCAAGUGUCGUACAAAGAAUGGAGGCCUUAUCCCCAGAGCACAGGGACAGCCACUGAAGACUUCUGAGUAGCAGGGGCUCUGAGCUGAUCUGCAUUCCCCAUAAGCCCAUCUGGCAACCAGAUGAGAGAGGAAAGGGGCGAGAUCCAGAAAGAGUUCCAGGAGCAGAGAUAUGAACUUGGACUGUGCAAGAGGUAGGGAGAAAAAAUUCAGGAGACGGCACUCAUGUGCCUGUGGUACACACGUCAGUGAGGAGUCCCACCACUCCUCUCACACACACAGUGCUUGCCACAUUCAUCCCCAGCAGAGAGGACCCAGAAGGACUAGCAGCCAUGGGGAAAGCCAGUGGUGUCCUAAGGAUUCACUUUGAGUUCACCCAGUUUGAACUACAUACAGGUAAAGAUGGGCAGCCGGAGUCUAAGUAUUUAUCCUUAUGCCCACAGAUGAUUGUAGCUCCCGUCUCUCACCAGAUAACUCUUCUGUGCAACAGAUGGACACCAUUCCAGAAAACCACCACUGGUCAAAGCACAGAGGGCAAGCGAUCGUGGCUGUUAAGUCCCAGGUGACACAUGUGCAUCCCAACUGUGUCACUGAAGACUCCUGGAACAUUCUGGAAGAUGUGGCGGAGGGCUUCAUUCUAAGAGCCAAAGGACCAGGAAGUCAGCUGUGAGACUGUCUCCUAGAAACAAAAGGGAAGCAUCUCUCUUGAUACUCAACAUUAUCAGUGUCUAAACAAGACCUGCUUGAGGAUGACAGCAGCAGCAGAUGUCCUAACAGAGAAAGAGGAAAUCUCACAGGCCCCACCCAUAGGCAAAGAACUACAGGCAGCUAAGGAAUUCGGAGAAAAAAGUCUUCCCCAAGGAGGAGCCUUACACUUGGCUACCCAAUGCCAAGUGGUCAGCCUUGAAAUCAUAUACAUACGAGUAACAUCAAAUGGACUGAACCGGUUGGGUUUACAUUUAUCUAUUUACAUUGUAUGUGUGUGUGUGUGUGUGUGUGUGUGUGUGUGUGUGUGUGUGUGUGCCAUGAGUUUGAGAGGGACCAGAGGAAGCGUUAGAGGGAAUAGAAGAACAGGAGAACAUGAUAUUAUAUUUCUUUUAAAUUAAAAUAAAUACUUUUGAAAGUGGGCAGCUGGUAGGUGGCUAUGCUGACUCAUUGCCCAGGAUAGACACAGAAGUCAAGAAAAGGGUGGGUGGAGGUACGCCAGCCCUCCGGGAAGGAGGAUGUCUCCCAGUGAGAGUGUGAGGAGAAGGACAUCCAGAAACGAAUGCAGCAACAUCUGCCCAAGAAAUAGAACCAGAGCGGAGGAAGGUAGGCCAGGGGAGAGAGUUGCCGGUAGAGACCAGAGGUCAUGUUCAAAGAGGAAGACUGAAGACCGACCAUGCUGUGAACAAGGUAUGACCUAAGGGGCAGCUACUGAGCUGACCAGGUCCUGCACUGAGGACCCAAGCAAGGGUGUCUCCAGCGGAUGAUAUGGUUGAAGGCCAGAUUCUGUGGGUGCAGGAGAACCCAGGAUAGAGAAAGUGUAAACGCACGGUGUUCCUGAUUUUUUUUUACUCACCGGUCACAAUUGGGUCAAAUUGUGUGAUGACUAAAGGCAAAAGUCUUUCUUGUAUAUGUUUUACUAUCUUAACUACUUUUUAUUUGUUCUCUCACAGUGACACACACACACACACACACUUACUUUGGCCACAUCUCCCCACCUCCCAGUAUCCUCUCUUCCCUCUCCUCUCUCACUAAACCCUUUCAUGCUCCCAGCAACCCCCUCCUACUUUCAUAUUUUUCUCUCUGCUGUUGCUAAUUUGUUUUUGUUUUGUUUCCUUGUGACCCACUGAAUUUAAUUAGGGCUACCCGCACGAGCAUGGGUGGGGAGUUAUUUACUCG